AAGGACCAAGGGAAAAACACUACACUAAUUAAGUCCAUUUCAUUGCAUUAUCUCAAAAGGACACGAAGGAGAAAGAAAAUGUUGUGAGGCAAUUUACAUGGGUAUUUAAGGAUGCCAAGCAUGCAAACAUUGAGAAUGCAUUGAUCUUGGCCGGAGAUCAUCUAUACUGAAUGGAUUACAUGGACCUUGUGCAGAGUCAUGUUGAAAGAAAUGCAUAUAUUACAGUAUCAUGUGCUGCUGUAGAUGAAAGGGUACAUGAUAUGCUAGGCGGGUGUAUGUUGGAGGCCUCCCUCCUACUGCUAAAUAUCUUUUUUGCCAAUUAAUUUUAGUCAUUUGAUCAAAGCUUGUUACAGUAUCUUACCACACUCUUGACAUACUCUUUACUUCUGAUUCUUGUAAUAUUUGAGUUAUGGAAAUGAUGCUAAUGUG